UACGGAGGGUGCAAGCGUUAUCCGGAUUCACUGGGUUUAAAGGGUGCGUAGGUGGGCAGGUAAGUCAGUGGUGAAAUCUCUGGGCUUAACCCAGAAACUGCCGUUGAUACUAUCUGUCUUGAAUAUAGUGGAGGUGAGCGGAAUAUGUCAUGUAGCGGUGAAAUGCUUAGAUAUGACAUAGAACACCCAUUGCGAAGGCAGCUCGCUACACUAUUAUUGACACUGAGGCACGAAAGCGUGGAGAUCAAACAGG
rnacentral:rRNA from 1 species